AAGAUAUUCAGUGCCUUCUAGUUUACUUCUUACAAUGGAUCAGUUACCUUAUUAGGACCAGUUACUUGCAGUGUCUCUAUUUAUGGUAUCUGAGUUUAGAUAGGAAUGAUGAAAAUGUGGCAGGAUUAAAACAUCUGUGAAAGUUUUUCAAACAGAAGAAGCAUAAAGCAAAUGCAAAUGUCACUAUACGUGAUUAAAUCUGGGGAAUGGUCACAGAAUUAAAAAAGAAGGCAAAUUGGGUUUGAGCAUAGGGCAUAGGGAGGACAACAGAAGAAGAAGAAGUUGAGAAGAAAGCAAUAGCCAAAUCAUCUAGUGCUUUGUAGGGUAGUGAAAUUGUUAAUUUUAGGUGUCAGCUGACUGGAUUAAAGAAUGACCAGUUUCCUGAGAAAGCAUUAUUUUUUGGUGUGCCUGGGAGGGUGUUUCUAGAAGAGAUUAGCAUUUGAAACAGUGGACUGAAUAAGGAAGAUCUGCGCUCACUCAGUGAGGACUGGCACCAUCUGAAGUUGCACAUAGAACAAAAAGGCAGAGAAAAGGUGAAUUAACUCUCUCUGUUUCCCUCUCUCUUCUGGAGUUGGGACAUCCUUCUUCACUUGCUCUUGGACAUCAGAAGUAGAAGUUCUCUGGCCUUUGGACUUCAAGACCUGCACAAGCAGGCGCCCAGUUUCUCAGGCUAUCAGACUCAGAUUGAGAAUAAUACCAUCAGCUUCUCUGGCUCUGAGGACUUAGACUUGCACUGGACUAUGAUAUUGGCUUCCCUGGUUCUCCAGCUUGCAGAAGGCCUAAGACUUAUCAGCCUCCACAACUGUGUUAGAAGACAGAUGCUCCAACUUCCCGGGAUGCUCAGGAGUGUCAGCCUAGCUCCUGGGAUUCUUGAAGCACUUGAAAUCCUACUACAUCAUGCAAAAUUGGAUUUGGAUUAUUCAACUUCCAAUUUUAUUUUUUAUUUUAAUUUUAUUUUUGCACAUUGGCCAGUGCCUUGGAGAGCAAUAUAAAUCAGUAAGUCUCUCCUGGCAUUUUCCUGAUCUCUGCUACAUCAUCUCAAAACCACAAAAUUCAGAUGUACAGAGUAACAAAACAUUACUUGAAGUUGAUAUUAAUAUAUAGAAAAUAGAAAGUUCACAUCACAUUGUAUCAUAUUAAUGGUGAAUAAAAUAGAAGUUACUGACCCAAGGACUGAUUUAAUCUCUUCAAAAAAUUCAGUGC
rnacentral:lncRNA from 1 species